rnacentral:misc_RNA from 1 species
UUUCCGUAGGUGAACCUGCGGAAGGAUCAUUAUUGAAUACGAAUCGGUUCUGAUGCUGGCCCUUCACCGGGCAUGUGCUCGCUCCGAAUCUAUUUAUCUUCUCUUGUGCACCUCUUGUAGUCUUUGAAAAAGUGAACCUCUCGCAGCAAUGCGGUCUGGGGGACUGGGUCAAACCUUCCCCUGCUUGCUUUCUUCUUGGCUAUGUUUUCAUAUACACUAUAAAGUUACAGAAUGUCUUUUAACGAUUGUCGCUCGCGCGCAGUCAUUAAACCUAUACAACUUUCAGCAACGGAUCUCUUGGCUCUC